UACGUAGGGUGCAAGCGUUAUCCGGAAUUAUUGGGCGUAAAGAGCUCGUAGGCGGUUUGUCGCGUCUGCUGUGAAAACUGGGGGCUCAACCCCCAGCCUGCAGUGGGGUACGGGCAGACUAGAGUGCGGUAGGGGAGAUUGGAAUUCCUGGUGUAGCGGUGGAAUGCGCAGAUAUCAGGAGGAACACCGAUGGCGAAGGCAGGUCUCUGGGCAUUAACUGACGCUGAGGAGCGAAAAGCAUGGGGGAGCGAACAGG
rnacentral:rRNA from 1 species